GGGGCCCUAAAUGGGGUGGCAGAGUUCAAGACGGUUCAAGAAGAGCUCAGGGACAAAUCUGGCCCAGCUAGAAAUUAGGGGUGACUAGGGUGUGGAGGAGAGGGUAGAGUCUGGACUCUACUUUCAAGUAUGGAAAGCCAGGAAAGUGUUUUAAGCAAGGGGGUAACACGACUUGGGUUUAGGGAUGGUACCCAACAGCCUGGAGAAGUGACAGAAGACCUACAGUGGCCUCUGUGAGUUGGAAAGGGAAAUGGCCAGGAGAUGUAGAGAAGGUGCCUAUUGAGUAGGAACCCCCACUGUGUGGAGAGGAGGAGCCCAGGGUACCAGCAGGCUACUGCUCUGGGGGACUGGAUGACAGGAUGCCACCCAGAGGCAGGCACAAGCAAGGAAGAGCCGGUAGGGAAAGGUAAUGAGCAUGCUUCUGAAGUGCCUUGGAACCCCCAGACUCACAUAGUGGCAGGACGGCUGAGAACUCCCAAAUCUGUACUCUCUCUACAGCUACAGGAUUCCAGUAAGUUUUAGCCCAGGGCCUUUUGGAAUCAAGACCAACUGUCCUAAUCCCAACUACAGUUAUGUGUGCUCAUGUGUCUCAGUUCUGGACAAAGGAGGUAAGUGGAAGAGGUGUAUACAAUUUCUAGGGACUGUCCUUAAAUAGAGGGCUUAUAGUCCUCCUUUUUCUGCAUCUUGCUAGCAGGAAUGCAGAUGUGAUGGUUGGAGCUGGGGCAACCAUGUUGAACCAUGUGAGUAAAAGCCGUAUGUUAAGGAUGGCAGAGCCACAGGUAGAAGAAAUCUGGAGAGAGGUUCACGGAAGGUUGCCCUGGGAUGCCUGCAUUUCCAAUUCCAUUUUGGUUAAACCACUUUAAUUUAGCAUUCAUCCUUCAUGGCCAGAACAAAUGCAGAUGCCUAGCAGAGUCUGGGGCUGAGGGCAGGUUGGCAGUCAUCAGUAUAAAGGGUCCUAGAUGAGGGACUGGGCUUAUGCUUGCUUGCUCUGGAAGCAGGAUAAACACAGAUGCCCUUCUGUGUCCUCACAGCCCAUGGCAGGUAACGGACAGAGAUCUUUCCACUUCCUCUGCAUCCUCUGCCAAGUUCUGAGUGCUCCCUGGGGUCAGGGCUCCACAAGCCAUAACAGGGAGGCCAGGGCACUUUACAGACUGAGGAGGAGGCUGGAGUGAGGACUUGAGGACACUGUUACUAAAACAGUAAUUAUGGAUAGGAAAUAUAAACAACCACACAAACGUUACCCUGGAACUUCCUCGGUAGAGAUGGCAAAGCUGAUCAAAUGCUUGGAUUUGCUGUGGAUCCAGAACAGGUUCUGAGGCUGCCUGAGAAAUCAAGAACAGUAAGGUUAGUAACCCCCAGGGGAGGCCUCUGGAUUUGGUCAAGGCUGAGCCAGGAUGUGGCGCUUCCUUCGUUCCUGUGAGGAAAAUCCAUGCUUCCAGCAACUGGUGAGAUACUUUACUGGACAGUAAUCAGAAAUGGGCGUGUCCCUCCUCAGUCCCUUGGUGCCAGCUGCAGGUGGACCUCUCUAGGGACACCCCCCCACCCCAGGAUUUCCAGCUUUUCCAGACUGACGAGCUUCCUUAAGGGCUGCUUGGUCCCUCUCUGCCUUUACUGUGCAGAGCAGUUCAGCUCCACCCAGCCCUGCGCUCCCCACUCCCCCGCCUUAUCCCUCACCGAGUAAGGCGCUCAAAGACGCUCCUUCUUUGUGCGGGUGGUGGGGAUACAAUAUAUGUGAAAAACAACGUCAUUUCCCUGCCUCAUUGUAAAGCUGGUAGCCACCUACAGGGCUGCGAUUUUAGUCUGCUUUGGAGGAAGGAAGUCUAAUUGCUCCCCCAGUAGGCUUGCUUUGCUCCACCUGUUACUGCACCAACACUGUGGUCCUACUCAGUGGAUCUGAUCCAACGCAUAGCUAGAGGGCAAAAGGGAUCCUGGCAGAAGCCGCCACAGGCUUUGGAGUCGGAGGUGAGCUGGAAUUCCAGUUCUGACACUAACCUGCCACGUGAUCUUAGGCAGGUCCCUUCUCUGACUUGAGAGGAUGACUCUUCUCUGUGAGGUUGCUGAACAGUAAAUUAGACAAGAUCCUUAUUUAAAGUGUCUUUAACCGGCUGGCACCCCACCAGGGCUCAGCUUUUAUUACAAUCUAGGGACACCCUUAGUUAAAUGAUAAUUUCAGAAGGGUUUCAACAAUGCAGGGUCUGGGUGUUGACACGAGUGCAUCUAUGGGGCUGAGCGAGGCUGUGGGACUGAAGGGAGCUGCAAGAGGUGGUCUGUUUCUAUGAACGUCCUGGCAGGAACAGCCACCAAAACAGUGAUAAAAAACAAAUGCCUGUGUCCAGGAUGUGGAAGACGUUCAAGAACAGGGUGGUGGAGUGGACGACAGGGGAGGCACAGAGCAAAUACCACCACUCAGAAGACUGACCACGUCCUGAGCAUUUACCACAGCCGAGCCCCGUGUGCUGCAUACUCUCCGUGGGUGAGCUCGUCAAAUCCUCACCGCCACUCUAGCAGGAAGGUACUGCCGUGUCCGGCCCCCCAACCCUCCAGGAUCUGAACUUUAAAAAGCAUUACAUACAGAAACUUUAAGAGGUUAUGUAAAGUUGUCUUCCAGAAAGGACUUGACUUUUUUCCUCAAAAUUUUCACCACCCUUAGGGGGGAAAACCUACUAAGAGCUAAGACAGAAUGGAAAUAAACACUACCCCUGAAAUAAAUCACGCUAGUGAGUGUGAAAUUCUUUCACACCUUCAUUUCCUAACUAGGUGAAAGGAUCUGCUUCGAGACCCAGAAAGCAGCUGUCCACGAUGAGGGUCACAGCUCAUGGGCCCCUGGAGUCCCGCAGUGAUGCUGCAGAGGUAACGUCUAGCUUCGGAGACCAGCCCAGGGGACAGUGGCCUUAGUUCUUCCCAGUGCUCUCAGUGGGCUGAGGAUGGUCUGAAGGGAAUCCUGAGCAGGGCAGCCAGAAAGAGAAGAGGACAGACUGCAGGGGGCCUGCUUUGCAUUCUAGACUCACGCCUUGGGUCCGCCAGACACAGGGAGGGACCGUCCCUAAUCUGAGAAUGUUUCAACUUGCCUUGACGCUGUAAAAAUACUUUUUCUCAAUAGACUUUGGUAGGAAAAAUGAUCCUAUUCUUGGAGAGAAAGUGUGUGGAGUAUCACACUUCCAGUAGAUACUAAGUAAGAUACACUGGGGAGUUCCAAGCUAAAGAUAAUUUGAAGAUUUGAGAAAUACUGCAAACUGAGCACAAGCAAGCAAAAGAGAAAACAUGGUCCUGCCCUGAUUCUCCGAGUCCCUUCAGUACUACUGGCAUGAACUGGGGAGCAGGGUGGGUUAAGGACAAGGACGACAGGUGCCUUUCACUGGCCAUUCCAAACCUCACCACAGUCCCUGUGACAAGGGACCAAGCCUCGAUCACACCUUUGCUUAUUCCCUGGUUACCCCGUGAUAAAGUUUAACAAGGAGGGUCCAAAUGGAAACAAGUCGGGAAUGGUCUAGGUAAGGUGCCCUGGGUGGGGAGAGGGGGUGUUAAGGCAGGUUAAUUAAAAAGAAGGUUGUAAAGGCCAAGUUAGCAAAUGACAAAGCAGCAAGGGGAGACCUCUCCUUAUACUUUUAUAAAACAGCCCUUUGCUUUGAAAGGAUAAUGUAAGGAAAAACCUCUCAUGAAAUGUACUACUGUACUCACUAUGAAGAUGCAGCUGUGCAGGCCACCUGUGCAGAAUUCCCAUCAGACCCUGUGCUGAGAAAAACUGCUGGGCACAGUUACUAGUUGUGCAGACUUGCUACUAAUUAUGUUUUCUUUUUUGCUUUUGUCACUUGGAAACUCAAAGCUAAGUGGUCAGCUAUAUAAGACUAGCAGCUGGAUAGGGCUUGGGGGCAAACAUUUACGUGUGCUAUUAUAACCUGGUUUUAUAUUAUUUUCAUAGGCGAACAGUUUUAAAAAAUAUAGAUUUCCUUAUUUAUUUCAUCCAAUUGGAUCUAUUUUGGAAGCCAACUCAAAUCACUAUGGCAAAGUGAAGGUCAUGUCAGAUCAGAAGUAAAAAUGCUACUGUUAAAAACAGAAUCGUGCUUUCCACCCCCCCCCACCCCGGCAACAGUACAUGGCAGAGACGUCUGUUCUAGGCACAGAGUAGAUGGCUCUAGCCCCCAGGAGUUUGCUCACUGAGACAGGAGGUGCAGAAGUCUCAAAUGAUGGUCCAAUCCAUGUUUUCUAAUCCAGCACUUCUCCAGCUUUUUAUGUGCGUGAACAGGAUUGUGUGAACUGAGGAAGAGAAGGCUUGGCGACCUGCCCAACCUGAAUGAAAAAUUCACAGCUAACUAAGGGUCAUAACCAGGUCCUCUACCUUAUAAACCCUAGCCCCCAUGUCCUAGGAGAAAAGCUGGAGUAACAAACAGGCCAUCAUCCUGGACAGCAAGAUACUGAACUAAGGAGUGCCUGCUUGGGCUGCCCUGGGACCCUCUGGAAGCAAAGUUUCUGCAGGGUGGAGACACCGUAUUCUUGGUGGAGCUGUACUGUCUCUGUGGAAAAGUAUCUGAAAACAAGUCAUCUGAGGUGAAACAGGAGAGCCAUCUGUAGACGUGCCUAGGACCCAGGAAAUGCUUACCUCUCUUAAAAUCCUUCCUGGAACAAGACAGAGUAUUUUUAAAAUGGAAACAUUCAGGGAAUGACUUAUAAGUCACUAAGCACGUCCUAGUGCAAAGCCCUCCAUCCGGUAUGACUGAGACCUGCCCCCUCAGUGCCUGCAGUUGGAGGGCAAGAGCCUGCAUUCCUGAGCCUGUCUGCCUGAGCCCAGUCCCGGCAUCACUGGUCACUGGCACUACAGUUACUGGUGAGCUAGCUGCUAUUUUUUUUUUUUUGGUAGUAUAAGGAUGGUGAUAAUAGCUGUCCCCAUAAAGUGGCUGAGCAGAUUAAGAAAGUGAGGCACAUGGAGCACUUGGUAAAUGCCCAGGACUUGGGAAGUUCUCAGUGUUAUUAACUGGAGGGCCCAGUCUACAUGCGAUACUGGUCGUGUAUGCCUAAUCUAAUGUGGCCAACGAAAUGGAAAGAAAGACAUCAGAGCAUGGCGCAGCCAAGACUGGCGCACCUGCUAGCAAGAGGGAUGGGUGGAUGUUGUGGGAGAGAGAAGGGAGAGUGGAGGGAAAGCAUUGUGGGAGGAGAGCUUCAGGACAGGCUCUCUCUCCCACCCACUGGCACCCAGCACUGCCUGGCACAGAGCAGCCAUGAGAUAAUUAUCUGCUGGUCAAAAGGAGGAAGGGAUGGGAAGGGCAAGCAGACUUUCUACUUACAUAGUCACUGGCGUGUUUCUAAACCCCCUGCAAUGCAGGAAGACAAACACAGGGGUGGCUUCGGACAGACCUGGGUCCACCUGGAUUCUGCAGUGAUCAGGGAGUGGCUCUGGCCAAGUUACUUAGCUUCUCUCAGUUUCUUUGGCUGUAAAACUACUCUGCAGAAUUGGGAGGAUUAGUGAUCCUGGAUGGGCUUGGCACCUAUUUGAUGGUCAGUAAA